UGAUCUGAUGUGCUGACAACCUGGUGUC
rnacentral:piRNA from 1 species